AUUGAACGCUGGCGGCAUGCUUUACACAUGCAAGUCGAACGGCAGCGUCGGGGCAACCCUGGCGGCCGAGUGGCGAACCGGGUAGAGUAAUGGCAUCGGAACCGUAAGUCCCUGUAAAUGGGGGGAUAACGGUAGCGAAAGUUACGCUAAUACCGCAUACGCUCGAGAGAGGAAAGUGGGGGGAUCGCAAGACCUCACGUUAUAGGAGCGGCCGAUGUCCGAUUAGCUAGUUGGUGGGGUAAAGGCCUACCAAGGCGACGAUCGGUAGCUGGUCUGAGAGGAUGAUCAGCCACACUGGGACUGAGACACGGCCCAGACUCCUACGGGAGGCAGCAGUGGGGGAAUUUUGGGACAAUGGGCGAAAGCCUGAUCCAGCCAUGCCGCGUGCGGG
rnacentral:rRNA from 1 species